UAUGGGGGACCUUUGGGAUAGCAUUGAAAAUGUAAACGAGGAAAAUACCUAAUAAAAAAAUAGCAAAAAAAAAAAAAAAAAAAGAGUGAGGAACAAAGAUUAGGCAAAGAAAAGUGCUGGAGGAAGCCACAGGCUCUGGGAGAGGCAGGAAUAUGAAAUACAUGGCUGCACACAGAAGCUGGUGGUACACUGCAUGCAUAGAUUGUAAAGCAUGAACAGAAUGAAGGACACAGCACUGCAUGCACCGUGGUGGCACGUGCAGAUGAACGCACCAUGGUGGCCUGUGGUGAUGAAUGCACCAUGGUAGUGUGUGCAGGUAAACACACCAUGGUGUAAUUUGCACAUGAAUGCACUGUGGUGGCUUAUGCAGGUGAAUGCACCGUGGUGGCAUAUGCAGAUGAACACAUCGUGGUGGCAUGUGCAAGUAAACGCAUCAGGGGACAGGGUAGAAAGAAAGGAGACAGGGAUGUAGGUAUUAAAGAACCUCGUGCCAGAGGUGGUAUCUCAUGUGAUGCUGACGGAAGAACUUCAGGUGGAACUGGGCAAGGUGGUGCCUAUACCCUUUCUGUUGAUAUGCCAAGAUUUGCCAUUAGUCACUAAUCCUCUGCUAUCUUUCAUUCACCUUCCUGAGUCAUGCAUGAGGGAGUAUAUGUACAACUAAAAGAAGUCAGAAACUGAAUGUAAAGCCUUUUAUUGUAUGUUUACAUUUGUAUUUCUCUGUAUGUCUCUGUGUAUGUGGAACAUGUAUGUGGAUAUGCCUGUGGAGGAAACACUGUGUCAGAUACUCUGGAUCUGGAGUGUCAGAUAAUAGUAACCACCUACAUUUGCACUAUCAGGAUUCCUUCCUUCACACAGUCAGUCCUUAGCUGGGUCCUCACUGGUCACUAACUUCAGCUCCCAGAACUCUCUCUACACUACACUGGACCCUGCAGCUGUGGAAACCCCCAUUCCAUAGUGAGGUGACUCCUGGGGGUCCUCUGGCUUGGGGCUGUGGGGCAGACAGUUCUCAGGUAUAGAUAUGUCCUGAACUUUAUCACAGUGGAAGGGGUCUACCAUGAAAUCCAUGUAAUUUAUAGCCAGAAAAGAGCAUGUGCCCUUCAGAGAGCAUAGGCCAGCUGGAGAUCCCUAUGUGGAAAGUGAGUGUCAGGAUGAAAGAAUGUGCAAGCUCUGCGAGAGAAUACUGUCAGGAGCAUCAACUGGGCUUCAGAAACUAAAGAAGACUCGACUACAAUUCAGUGGGUUUGGUUACAGAUUAGCAAGCGAGUAGAACUGCUCUUUGGGUCAAUAAUCUAGCACAGUUGAGGCAAUCCUCAUUAUCAGUACUGUAAGUACUAAAAUGCUCUAAUUGAAGAAACACAGGUCCUGUACCAAGAAACUGUAGUUAUUCAGGACCCCUGGGAAACCUGUUACUAAAAUUUUGCUAAAUGAAUGUAUUAUAAACUGUUUUAUAAACUCAUAUGUCUCUACCCAUAGGGAAAGAAGCUCUCAGACAGCUUCAGAGAAGUUGUUUUGUACAAGUGAUUGGUGGCUAAUGCAGAAACUCCCAUCUGGUUAGACUGCACAAAGUAAGUGUCUAUGGAUUGCCCACAAAACAUCAAACAUGUCACACACUCUCCCCCCAAGCUCAAGUUCCAUAACAGAAGAGGGGGAUCAAGAGAUUUGAAGAGGCAGAAGACAUUCGCACCAGAGCAAUGUAGUGUUUGAGGGACAUGAAAUGGUUAUUAGACUCAUGAACACACAGUAGGUGUCUUUACCCCCAUGAGACCUGCACAAGAUCAAGCCUGCCAGCACUCUGGCAUGGACUGAGUGGGAUCUCUUGUGCUCUUAAAAGUACGUGGCUUUUGUGGGAGGAAGACUCCAUUUUAAGAAUAUGGCCCCUGGUAGGUCAACCAUACUCUAGUGGAUGGUUCUACAUACAACAGUAUGUAGAUAGCACAAAUUGGCCUUGGGAUUUUUCUUUUUAAAAAAUAAAAAUAAAAAAGAUAUGGAUGUUGGGAGUAAAACAGCUAGGAAAGAUGUUUUAUUUUCAUUGGAUGAAAGGGUGGGGUAUGUGUGAAUAUGAUUAAAAUCAAUUAUAUAAAAUCCUCAAAGAAUUAAAUAAAUACCACAUUGACAAACAAUAACUUAUGUUAAGGAAUAGGAAUUAGAUUGCAGCCAACCUGCAACGUCAGAAUCAUUCUCUCCAGAGGCAAGGCUUCCUUCUACAUUAUGAAUACUUAUUGUCACUGAUGUCAGCUAUAAAAGAGAAUCAGAGAAAAGGCAUUUUGGCAAAUAGUAAUCUUCAGGGAGUGUUUCUGCUACUUGAUAUAGGGUAUUCCAAUUUGCUGGAUAAUAUUUAGGACAGGGCCUGACAAAUAAAUAAAAUCAUCACACACUAAAAUUAACCAGAUCCUUAAAGAUUCAAUAACUAUAACUAUAUGGACUAACUAACUAUAUAUAACUCUAUGAAAGAUACAGUUAGAAUUGGCAUUUGAAACAGCAUGUGAAGCUACACAUUAAAAUUUACACUUUAAGUAUCAAAUAUAUAUUUAUACACCAAUCAAAAAGAAAACUAUGUCAACAAUGUGGACA
rnacentral:lncRNA from 1 species